rnacentral:rRNA from 1 species
GUGGGGAAUCUUGCGCAAUGGGCGAAAGCCUGACGCAGCCAUGCCGCGUGAAUGAUGAAGGUCUUAGGAUUGUAAAAUUCUUUCACCGGGGACGAUAAUGACGGUACCCGGAGAAGAAGCUCCGGCUAACUUCGUGCCAGCAGCCGCGGUAAUACGAAGGGGGCUAGCGUUGCUCGGAAUUACUGGGCAUAAAGGGCGCGUAGGCGGACAGCUUAGUCAGAGGUGAAAGCCCAGGGCUCAACCUUGGAAUUGCCUUUGAUACUGGCUGUCUUGAGUUUGGGAGAGGUGAGUGGAACUCCGAGUGUAGAGGUGAAAUUCGUAGAUAUUCGGAAGAACACCAGUGGCGAAGGCGACUCACUGGCCCAAUACUGACGCUGAGGCGCGAAAGCGUGGGGAGCAAACAGGAUUAGAAACCCUAGUAGUCC